rnacentral:rRNA from 1 species
UACGGAGGGUGCGAGCGUUGUCCGGAAUCACUGGGCGUAAAGGGCGCGUAGGCGGCGCGGGUAGUCAUCGGUGAAAGUUCAAGGCUCAACUCUGAAUCGGCCGGUGAUACUCCCGUGCUCGAGCACUGUAGAGGCAGGUGGAAUUCCGGGUGUAGCGGUGGAAUGCGUAGAGAUCCGGAAGAACACCGGUGGCGAAGGCGGCCUGCUGGGCAGUAGCUGACGCUGAUGCGCGACAGCGUGGGGAGCAAACAGG